GUUGCACUUGCCAGCUGGUAAUUAAAGAUGGCUGCCAGUGAAGUAGCAAACCUCUGCUCAGGUAGAACGGCCAACAACACCUACAGUACACACACACCUGAAUACCUGUUAAGCUAGUUACCAUUCGUGAUAGUAAACGUUAACACAGAUGGCUUCUAGAUGUGGGCAGGGACGGGCAGCAGGGUCCCAACCUCAGAGAAGACGRCAGGAGAGCUCAGACCUCCAGGACACAUACCUCCUCCAUGGGGAGCCUAGCCCUCCUCUCAGUAACCUGUCUCUCCACGCCUCCUGGUGGUCCGGCAGGGACGAGCACACAGAGACUGGGCCCUCCCUUGGGGAGCAACUGGUUGAGAGAAAUCAGCACGUUGCCAGACUACAGGAUGCACUGAGACGCGAGAGAGAGAAGGGUUCCAGCCUGCAGUCUCGGUGUAAUCAGCAGGGGUCAGAGUUGAGGCGUAGAGAGCAGCACGGCGCCAGACUGAAGGAGAGACUAACCCAACUUGCAGAGAGACACAGAGAGAGAGGCGCCUGUAAGGAUCUCUGUCUAACCAUCUCUCUCACACUUAAUGUGCCCUCUCAUAUUCUAUACCACUCCAUCUUUCUCUCAAUUUCUCUUAGUCUUACACACACACACCAUUCUAUCACUCUCCUUCUACCUACCUAUUGUAAUGACCUCUGCAC